UACGUAGGGGGCAAGCGUUGUCCGGAAUCAUUGGGCGUAAAGCGCGCGUAGGCGGCCCGGUAAGUCCGCUCUGAAAGUCCAGGGCUCAACCCUGGAAAGCGGGUGGAUACUGCCGGGCUAGAAUCCGGAAGAGGCGAGUGGAAUUCCCGGUGUAGCGGUGAAAUGCGCAGAUAUCGGGAGGAACACCAAUGGCGAAGGCAGCUCGCUGGGACGUUACUGACGCUGAGACGCGAAAGCGUGGGGAGCAAACAGG
rnacentral:rRNA from 1 species